UACGGAGGGGGCUAGCGUUGUUCGGAAUUACUGGGCGUAAAGCGCACGUAGGCGGACUGUUAAGUCGGGGGUGAAAUCCUGGGGCUCAACCUCAGAAUUGCCUCCGAUACUGGCAGUCUCGAGUGCGGGAGAGGUGAGUGGAAUUCCCAGUGUAGAGGUGAAAUUCGUAGAUAUUGGGAAGAACACCAGUGGCGAAGGCGGCUGCACUGGCCCGUAACUGACGCUGAGGUGCGAAGCGUGGGGAGCAAACAG
rnacentral:rRNA from 1 species